rnacentral:rRNA from 1 species
UGUGCCAGAAGCCGCGGUAAUACGUAGGGUGCAAGCGUUAAUCGGAAUUACUGGGCGUAAAGCGUGCGCAGGCGGUUCGUUAAGACAGAUGUGAAAUCCCCGGGCUUAACCUGGGAACUGCAUUUGUGACUGGCGAGCUAGAGUAUGGCAGAGGGGGGUAGAAUUCCACGUGUAGCAGUGAAAUGCGUAGAGAUGUGGAGGAAUACCGAUGGCGAAGGCAGCCCCCUGGGCCAAUACUGACGCUCAUGCACGAAAGCGUGGGGAGCAAACAGGAUUAGAUACCCUGGUAGUCCACGCCCUAAACGAUGUCAACUAGUUGUUGGGGAUUCAUUUCCUUAGUAACGUAGCUAACGCGUGAAGUUGACCGCCUGGGGAGUACGGUCGCAAGAUUAAAACUCAAAGAAAUUGACGGGAAUC